CCUACGGGCGGCAGCAGUGAGGAAUAUUGGUCAAUGGGCGGAAGCCUGAACCAGCCAAGUAGCGUGCAGGAUGACGGCCCUACGGGUUGUAAACUGCUUUUAUACGGGAAUAACGCGCCUUACGUGUAGGGCUUUGCAUGUACCGUAUGAAUAAGGACCGGCUAAUUCCGUGCCAGCAGCCGCGGUAAUACGGAAGGUCCGGGCGUUCUCCGGAUUUAUUGGGUUUAAAGGGAGCGUAGGACGCAUGUUAAGCGUGCUGUGAAAGGUCCGGGCUCAACCCGGGCCUUGCAGCGCGAACUGGCGUGCUUGAGUCCGCUGAAGGCAGGCGGAAUUCGUCGUGGAGCGGUGAAAUGCUUAGAUAUGACGAAGAACCCCGAUUGCGAAGGCAGCUUGCUGCAGCGGAACUGACGCUGAUGCUCGAAAGCGCGGGUAUCGAACAGGAUUAGAUACCCGGGUAGUC
rnacentral:rRNA from 1 species